UAGACCAGAGGCGUUGCCCGGGGAGUCAGCACCAUGUACUUAGCCCCGAUUCAAAUAGAUUUGGCCAACAAACUGACCAAGAUGUUACCAUUUUUAGUAUGAGAAUAGCCUCCAGUAAAGUACUGAGACAGUCCAAAACGGGAGCAAUAAGAUUGUGUUUUGAACUAAGGAUGGACAAUCCACCCAAGUUCCCUUGCUCUUUUUUUUUUUUUUGAGAAAGGGAGAAGACUUUCAUGUGACUGGCUUUUUUUCCUCCUUUUUUUUUUAAAACAGGAAGUGAGAAGAGGAAGUCGUGUGUAUUUUUGGCACAGCCGUUGGAAGGAUUUUCUGGUGAGGAAUGCGCCAGGAGAUGUUUCAGGAGGAGAAGAAACAGAAGAAGAAGAGGCCUGUGGUGCACUGCCACGCAGGGACUGAUCCCUGCUGCAAACAAUAAACUCCUCGACCAAUAGGAAAGCAGUGAGCUGCGAUAUGGUUCUUUGCUAUUGGGCGAAGCCAACACAGCACUCUGAGCAAUGCUGUCUGAAGAAGGCCGUCCUCUCAAUUUUGUUCUACACAUGGGGCAUAUACGCACACUCAGUGGCCACUUUAUUAGGUACACCUGUCUAGGACCGGGUUGGGCCGUCUUUUGCUUCCAGAACAGUCUGAAUUCUUCACAGCAUGGAUUCAACAACGUGCUGGAGACCUUUCUGAGGGAUUUUUGUUCACACUGACUUGAUAGCACAGUGCAGUUCCUGCAGAUUUUUCGGCCGCAAAUUCAUGCCGCAGACCUCUCGUUCCAGCUCAUCUCAAAGUUGCUCUGUUGGUUUGACGGUCUAGGGACUUUGCAGGCCACAGGAGUAAACUGAAGACACUGUCCUGUUUGUGGAACCAGUUUGGGCUAAUGCAUGUGUAGCAGUCGGUCUGCCGGAGAGGCGGAUUGGUCUCGGCUGCGCCGGCUGGUGGAGAGAGCACACGCACCUGGGCUGCGUUAGCUAAUCAGCCCAGGUGCUUAAAGGUGUGCUGCUCUCCACAGUUUGGGGCUGAGACUGGGAGCUAGCACAGUUAUGGUUUUCGGUUCAUUGGGUUGGGUUGAUCUAUGGAUUGAGGCCAUUUAUGCCAAAUUCUGACCCUACCAUCUGCUUUCUGCAGCCAAAUUUGAGAUUUGUAAAACUGACCGAAGUGGAGCCUGAUGUGGUCUUCUGCUGCUGUAGCCCAUCCACUUCAAGGUUUCACACAUUGUGAGAUGCCCUUCUGGACACUGUUGUAGACGGCUGUUAUUUGAGCAUUUGUGGUCGUUCUGUUAGCUUGAACAAGUCUGUCCAUUCUCCUCUGACCUCUGAAUCUCAUUAACAAGGUGCUUUCAUCCACAAAA